rnacentral:lncRNA from 1 species
AGGCUGGGCGAGGAAAGACACACAGCAUCGUGUUUCAGGUACCUGUCUACAAAGAGCUUCUUAAUCCUCUCUGAAUGUAUGCAUGCAUGGGCAAGCCUCCAGGCUCUCAGAAGCAGGAGAUCCCAGGGACAAGACAUCAUGGCAGGGAGUGGCAGGAUCACGUGAUCCUGGAGAUUCGGUUAUCUGCCACACUGGCCAUACCACCUUCAACGAGACUUUUCACCUCACCGCACUGUUGAGAACUAAAUGAGACACCAAAUCUGUAGCGUGCCCAGCAGAAUCCAGCAUGCGUGAGAGAUCCAUGAGGAAUAAACUACUAGUGUGUGAACAUCUACCCGUAAUGCUAUAUGGUUAAGUGACCUGGUCACGAUCACUCCGC